rnacentral:tRNA from 1 species
UGCGGGGUAGCUCAACGGGCACAGAGCAGCCGAUUCAUACCCGGUUCAGACGUUGGUUCGAUUCCGGCCCCCGCAG